rnacentral:rRNA from 1 species
CGAGUGGCGAACGGGUGAGUAACGCGUGAGGAACCUGCCUCAAAGAGGGGGACAACAGUUGGAAACGACUGCUAAUACCGCAUAAGCCCACGGGUCGGCAUCGACCAGAGGGAAAAGGAGCAAUCCGCUUUGAGAUGGUCUCGCGUCCGAUUAGCUAGUUGGUGAGGUAAUGGCCCACCAAGGCGACGAUCGGUAGCCGGACUGAGAGGUUGAACGGCCACAUUGGGACUGAGACACGGCCCAGACUCCUACGGGAGGCAGCAUG